GAAAUACUCCCUCCGUCCCAAAAUAAGUGUCUCAACCUUAGUACAACUUUGUACUAGAGUUAGUACAAAGUGGAGACACUUAUUUUGGGACGGAGGGAGUAACUU
rfam:Triticum aestivum genome assembly, contig: Triticum_aestivum_CS42_TGACv1_scaffold_644877_T_5BL-0.165681_5BS-0.161300